CGGCCCUUGGUUCAGCGGCAGAACACGCGGCCGAUCACCGCAAGGCGGAGGUUCGAGUCCUUCAGGUCCGAC
rnacentral:tRNA from 1 species